rnacentral:rRNA from 1 species
GACGAACGCUGGCGGCGUGCUUAACACAUGCAAGUCGAACGGAAAGGCCCUGCUUUUGUGGGGUGCUCGAGUGGCGAACGGGUGAGUAACACGUGAGUAACCUGCCCUUGACUUUGGGAUAACUUCAGGAAACUGGGGCUAAUAUCGGAUAGGAGCUCCUGCUGCAUGGUGGGGGUUGGAAAGUUUCGGCGGUUGGGGAUGGACUCGCGGCUGAUCAGCUUGUUGGUGGGGUAGUGGCUUACCAAGGCUUUGACGGGUAGCCGGCCUGAGAGGGUGACCGGCCACAUUGGGACUGAGAUACGGCCCAGACUCCUACGGGAGGCAGCAGUGGGGAAUAUUGCACAAUGGGCGGAAGCCUGAUGCAGCAACGCCGCGUGCGGGAUGACGGCCUUCGGGUUGUAAACCGCUUUCGCCUGUGACGAAGCGUGAGUGACGGUAAUGGGUAAAGAAGCACCGGCUAACUACGUG